rnacentral:pre_miRNA from 1 species
AUGUCACCAUGAGUUUCCCUUUAACGCUUCAUUGUUGUUGAUACACAAAAACACACACAGUUAUUUUCUUAUUAAAAUGCUUGUUUGGUUUGUAUAUAACACAACAACAACACUGAAGUGUUUGGGGGGACUCUUGGUGUCAU